rnacentral:lncRNA from 1 species
GUGACAGGUGACAGAGGUUCUGGGUCAGCAACAGGACAAAUUGUAACACAGAAUUUUCAUUUUCAUUUCUGUAACAAGAAGUAUGACUGGCAAGAUUGUCACUUAAGCAUUUUACUUGAGAAGAAACAUCACAUCAAGUAAAAAGGAGAUAAGAAGAAACAACUUGUUAAGAAGAGACAAAGUGUUCUAUUUUACCGAAAGCAUUCCAGGCAUGUAUUACACAGCAUUAUUCACAAUUCAGGUGAGUCUCUUGUUAAAAAUUACACAGACAUGAUUAUUUAUUGGUGGUAGACUCUUAUUUUAAUAGUUUCAUAAAUAUGAGUAUUUAUAUAAUCUUGAUGUGUUCUCUGCAAUUGUUCAGUUAUACUUUUUAGCAUUUUAUGAGUGGAAUCACAUAGUUUAGUGGUAUUUGUAAAUUUGAAGUUUUACAAAGGUCCUAGGACAUACUUAGGAAUAUGUGGUAGUAAUUAAAGUUGGUCUGAAUUCUAGAAGAAUUAUAUUAAGGGUGAGUGCAGUAGUUUAGAUUCCUAGAAAAGGUGGAUAUUAGUUUUUAGGAAUAUAAAAAAACAGGCAAAAAUAAGAGUAGUGAUAAGCUUCAGUGACUUUGUCUUGCUUAUUGUGGACCCAUGGAAAACUGGCAAAGCCAGAAAUAAUUGAAAAACAAUGUAUUUUAAGUACCAUGAGGUAAAAAAUGGUCAUGUUUACCCAUGCAUUCCCAACAUAUAAUAUGGUAUCUCAUACUAGUAGACAUUGAAUUAUUGUUUGCACAUUCUAACUACUACAUCAGUAUCUCCUUUUAUACUAUGCAUCACCUAGAGAUGAUAAAUGUGUAAUAAAACAAUAAAGAUUAUUGGUUAGAAUCACCACUUCAGACAAGGCCUAACAUACAAUAGAGCUCUGAACAACAAUGGAACAUCAAGCAGAGACACUGCUCUGACACAUUUUGAAUUUGUCUAUAUUUGCUAAAGAUCAAAUAUCAUACCUCUAAUCUUGGUUAUGAAGAGUACAUUUUAUAAACUGUAAUAGAUUUUCUUAAAAAUAAGCAUUUACCAUGCAAAAAAAGGAAAACAUUGUUUCAGAAAUAAUAAGCAGUGGGUUAUACCAUUCUAAAUGAGAGGAUUUAUAGCCCAUUGUUUUCAGUUUAAAUGUCAAAGUCCGUACAUAUAAACAUUUGGAAAAACAGGUUUCAGUAGAUCACACUAUGUAAAGGUCAUACAGACCUUGCAAAUAUUGCUGGAUAUCUAACUAAUCUGAUCCAGUUCUUGAGUUCAAAUAUCAAAUUAUAUCCCCUUUUGCCACCUAGAAUUCAAAAUUUCUAAUAUUCAGUGUAUCCUAAAAGUUUCACAUUUUCAUAUUUGUAAGAUCCCAUAUGAAACCAUAUGCAAUUACCACAUGCUAUAUUGUGACAUGCUCUGUUAACAUUAGCUCUUUGAUCAAUGACUCACCUUAACUGUUGAAUCAUCAAGCCCUACAGCAGUAUUUUACAUCUUCAGUUAUGCAUAAUGUGAAGUAAUAUGCAUGCCUGCCCACUGUAAAUAUGAGAGGCAAUUUGUUUGGCUCCACAUUUUAUUUUUCUUUCAAGAUUACACUACUAACUUCAACAAAAGCAAUAAAAUAAAAAAUAUUGCCUCACAAUCCACAGCUCUGUCCAUCAAUAGCAAAAAUUCUCAGUCUUAACACCAGUGCCAGAAGAUGAAUCUCAUGGUAAUUCAGUGAUUGUAUAUGGAUUCACAUUAAACAAAACAAGUUAGAUAAGCAAUCAGAUAACUAAAGUUUUUUCAAAGAUAAUAAAGAAUAUGUUAGAAAUCAUCAAAUGUUUUCUCAUUAAUCAAAUAAAAAGGAAGGGGGUUUUCAAGAUGGCAGAAUAGAAAAGGUUACUUUCUUGGCUACUUCUUAGAGUGAAACCAAGAAAGUAGACAGGCAGCUUCUCAACAAGGUGGGUGAAACCAAAAAAAAGGUGGGGUGGGGGCUUUACUGGAAUUUAAAACUGGAUAUUCAAAGCACAUCAGGGACCCAGUAGGUUGGAUAUAAUAAAAUAAGGAGGAAAUCCCCAGGAGCACCAGCACAGUCGUUGCCAUGCACAAGCAAGAAGCACCAGCCAGAAUGGUCCCUCCACAAGUAAAGUGGAGGGAUAAGGGAAUUAAAGGAACCCACAUUUUUUAGGAGACCUGAGGCAUAUCUGGGUACAGAGCAUUUAGAGAUCAAGGACAUUGCCUAACUAAACUUAAAAACAUGCUGCAUAAUAUCCUUGUGCAGGAAAGAAGCCACCCUAUCUCCAGGCAGUGGGUGGAUUACAAAAGAAGGAACCAUUUUAUAGCCUCAGCAUGAGGGCCAGCAGCUGAAGGAGCCAAUUCCUGGCAAAUUCAAGUUUGGCCUGAAAUACAGGCCCAGUAAACACACAUUGCAAAACAUAGAGUGUGCUUAAGUGACCAGAAGAAAACCAAACAUGGAGAGAGGUUUAUCCAGGGGACAACUGGUUGUGGAAACCCACAUGGCUCUAUCCUUCCCUCUCAACUUGACUGCCUGAAGGACCAGCUGGGAGAGACAUAUCUGGCUGGGAAAUCAGAAGGGAAGAGGGUGGGAGAGAUUGAGUUUGGACACUGAACCCAAGAGUAAGAAAUGUGAGGGCCACAGGUGAUGUAGGGGACUAAAACUUGGCUCCUCUACCACAGAGUGGAACACAGGGGAGAGCCCUUGGAUACAGUCUUCCAGUAUGUACUGGAAAAUACUGGGCCCAGAAGGUAUGCUGAUUUAAAAUCUCCAGAUCAACUGGCAUUCAGCAAAGAGCCUAGAGCCCACCUAAGCCUAAACCCUGUCUACAUGAAUUCCAUCUAUGAGAUUACCUCUCUCAUUCCAGCAAUCCAGAGGGUGGAGCAUCACAUUCCAGACAACCCUACCUAAAACUGCUGAGAAGAGAAGCUGAGAAUCUUUGAACUUCAACAGAAAAAAAAUAACUUUUCAUCAAGAUUUUUUCCUCUUUUUCUCCUUCUUUUUUUCUUUUCUAUGUUCAAUUGUGACCUUAAUGAUACAUGGACAUUCAUAUAUAUCAUAUUUGUUUUUUUUCUCAUUUCUAGCAUUUUUGAAGCCAGUUGUUUUUCAUAGAUCAGAGUUUUGAGGAGUAGGAUGUUUGAUUAGUAUAUUUUCGUUUUGUUUUGUAUUCUUUUAUUUUUAUUUUUAAGUUUUUACACACACACACACACACACACACACACACACAUAUAUAUAUAUUUCUCUUACUUGUUUCCCUUGAUUCUCUUUCUUUUCUUCCAUUAACCAUCAAUCUCUAUUGUUCUCUUUCACUCUUCCUUUGUUUUAUUUCUACCUUCUCUCUUCCUCCCUCAUAAUCAUCACAUCCUGUAUCACUUCUGUUUUCUCCCUGUCCACCAUUUGAAACUGUAAACCCUUUUACAAACUUGGUAUUUUUAUUGUAAGCAAUAACUGAUCACAUCCUUUCCAUUUACUAUGAUAAUUAACACUGUAGAUGUUAUAGUAGGAACUAUUUGGUUUAAUGUUGUAUAUUGUUUGCAUUGACUGUUAUUAUUUUUCUUCACCUAAAUGGUGAGGUACUGUAAACCUUCAAGAAAACUACAAGUCCACAGGGUAGAAACUCUACUACCUCAGAUCCAUAUUGCUAGAUGGAUAGACACACAAACAACACGAUAAAGCAAAGGAACAAACUGCACUAAACAAACCAAGAUACUUCAAUAACAGAAUCUAAUAACACCACAGUGGAAGAAAUGCCAGAGAAGGAAUUUAGAAUGUACAUAGUCAGAUUGAUAUGCAAAAUAAAGGACAACAUAAGGAGUGAAAUCAGAAAGAAAAUACAAGAAGUGAAAGAUCACUUCAAUAAAGAUCUAGAGAUCCUGAAAAAAAAUGAAGCAGAAAUCCUGGAAAUGAAGGAAUUAAUAAACCAAAUUAAGAAUUCAAUGGAAAGCAAUGCCAACAGUCACUUGGAAGACAGAAUUUUAGUCAAUGAAGACAAAAUAUAUAAUAUUGAAAACAAAGUUGACCAUGAAGAAAAGAUGUUAAGAGACCACAUGAACAGAACUUCCAAGAGAUACAGGAGAACUUGAAAAGACCAAAUUGAAAAAAAAAAAAAAAAAAAAAGCAAAGACCAAAUUGAAGAUUUAUCGAGAUAGAUGGAGGCUCAGAGAAACAAAUCAAAGAAUGCACAAUUUUUCAAUGAAAUAAUAUCAGAAAAUUUCCCAAACCUAAAGAAUGAAAUGAAAAAUUAUAUACAGAAGGCUUAUAGGACCCCAAAUAUACAAAAUUACAACAGACCCACACCAAGGCACAUUAUUAUUAAACUGCCUAACAUACAGAGUAAGGAUUGAAUUGAGAAAAACAAUACAUAAUAUUUAAAGGGAAAUCAAUCCACAUCUCAGCUGAUUUCUCAACCCAGACCCUCAAAGCUAGGAGGUUUUGGAAUAAUAUACACCAAGCCCUGAAAGAAAAUAUAUAUCAGAUAAGAAUACUAUAUCCAGCAAAAUUAAGCUCCAGAAUUGAAGAUGAAAUAAAAACCUUCCAUGAUAAACAAGUGUCAAAAGAAUUCACAUCUAGAAAGGCUGCAAUACAAAACAUUUUCAGUAAAAUAUUCCAUGAAGAACAAAUGAAAAAUAAAAGUGAAAAAAAGCAAAGGGAGGAACUAUACUAGAAGGACAGUCAAUCAAAGGAGAAACUAAUUCAAAGCAAAAUCCAGAAAUAACCUGCACUGGUCUACAUUCUGCUUUCCUAAAAAGGAUGAAUUUACAUCAUUUAAUGAGACUAUUUCAAGUUUUUGUUGUUUGUUCAUUUGCUUGUUUUUGUUUUUGCAGGCUAAAAUAAAAAUGUUAAAUAUUUAAAAAGCAGAAAUAAAUCAAAAUGAGAGGAAAUAAAAAUCAUAUCUCAAUAAUAGCUCGGAAUGUAAAAGACUAAACCCAUCAAUCAAAAGAAACUGACUGGCAGAUUGGAUUAAAAGAAGUCCCAACAAUAUGCUGUGUUAAAGAGAUUCACCUCAUAGGUAAAGACCCCCAUAGACUGAAGGUAAAAGGAGGGGGAAAAACAUAUCAUUCACAUGGAUAUUGUAAACAAGCAGGGGUUUCUAUCCUCUUAUCAGAUAAGUGGACUUCAAGCCAAAGUUAAUCAGAAGGGACAGAAGGACAUUUUAUACUCCUUAAGGGAACUAUACAUCAAUAAUACAUGACAAUCAUAAAUAUUUAUGUCCCAAACAAUGGAGCAUGUCUGUAUAUCAAACAAAAUCUUCUCAGUUUCAAGGAUCAAACAGACCAAAACACAGUAAUACUGGUUGGUUGACAUUAACACAUCUAUCUCACCACUGGAUAGAUCUUACCAAAAAAAAAACUAAAUAAAAAAGCUCUAGAAGUAAAAGGUACAAUUGAUAAUUUAGGCUGUACAGACAUAUAUAGAAUAUCUCAUCCAUCAAUGACUGAAUACACUUUCUGUUCAGCAGCACACAGAUCCUUCUCUAAUAUAGACCAUAUUAUGUAAGCUAUCACAUAUGUGUGUAUACAAUUGUAAUAUUACCUUAAUAUAUUUUUAGCAUCUGUAGAAUUAUUUUGAUAGCUCACUUUCCAUUGAUAAUGAUUUUUAUGUUCUUGCUUUUUUCUUGAUUAGGCUUGUUUGAUUUUAUUAACUUUCAGCUGUAUUACUUUUUCUCUAUUUCAUAUAUUUCCGCUCCUACUCUUAUUUUUUCCUUCCUACUACCUAAUUUAAAAAUAAUUUGUUAUUCUAGCUUCUUUCUGAUACAAGUACUUUGAGUUAUAAAUGUUCAUCUGACUACUGUUUAAUUGCAGAGAUUCUGAUAUUUUAAGCUUUUAUUUGGUUCAAAGCACUUUUUGCGUUUCUUGUGCUUUCUUCCUUGACCUGUGAGAUACAUGUUAGUGUGCCAUUUAAUUUUGAAGCAGUUGACAUGUGGUAGUGGGGUUCUUUAUAUCUUAAGGUGAUUGAUUUCUAAUAUAAUAAGUCAUGCAGGAAGCAUAGUCUGCAUAAUUUCAAAUUAAAAAAUAAUGGAAAUGCUUUUUUAUAUUGAUUGUAUUUGCUACAUACAUGUCAAAACUGAUCAAACUGCAUACUGCUAAUAGGUGAAUUUUAUUCUUCAAUUUUACCACAAUAAAACUGUAAGAAAAAGGGAAGCUCUGGGUUUAUUUAAUUACUUCAAAGUCACAUGGAUAGUUCGUUUGUAAAUCCU